rnacentral:rRNA from 1 species
AACGAACGCUGGCGGCAUGCCUAACACAUGCAAGUCGAACGAGACCUUCGGGUCUAGUGGCGCACGGGUGCGUAACGCGUGGGAACCUGCCCUUAGGUUCGGAAUAACUCCCCGAAAGGGGUGCUAAUACCGGAUAAUGUCUUCGGACCAAAGAUUUAUCGCCUUUGGAUGGGCCCGCGUUGGAUUAGCUAGUUGGUAGGGUAAAAGCCUACCAAGGCGACGAUCCAUAGCUGGUGUGAGAGGAUGAUCCGCCACACUGGGACUGAGACACGGCCCAGACUCCUACGGGAGGCAGCAGUGGGGAAUAUUGGACAAUGGGCGAAAGCCUGAUCCAGCAAUGCCGCGUGAGUGAUGAAGGCCUUAGGGUUGUAAAGCUCUUUUACCCGGGAUGAUAAUGACAGUACCGGGAGAAUAAGCUCCGGCUAACUCCGUG